CCUACGGGUGGCAGCAGUGAGGAAUAUUGGUCAAUGGCCGUAAGGCUGAACCAGCCAAGUCUCGUGAAGGAAGACGGAUCUAUGGUUUGUAAACUUCUUUUAUAGGGGAAUAAAGGUAUCCACGUGUGGAUAUUUGCAUUUACCCUAUGAAUAAGCAUCGGCUAACUCCGUGCCAGCAGCCGCGGUAAUCCGGAGGAUGCGAGAGUUAUCCGGAUUUAUUGGGUUUAAGGGGUGCUUAGGUUGUUUUUUAAGUCAGAGGUGAAAGUUUGUGUCGCAACCAUAAAAUUGCCGUUGAAACUGGAAGACUUGAGUGUGUUUGAGGUAGGCGGAAUGCGUGGUGUAGCGGUGAAAUGCAUAGAUAUCACGCAGAACUCCGAUUGCGAAGGCAGCUUACUAAGCCAUAACUGACACUGAAGCACGAAAGCGUGGGGAUCAAACAGGAUUAGAUGCCCUUGUAGUC
rnacentral:rRNA from 1 species